AACGAACGCUGGCGGCAGGCUUAACACGUGCAAGUCGAGCGCAUCCUUCGGGGUGAGUGCCAGACGGGUGAGUAACGCGUGGGAACGUGCCCUUCAGUUCGGGAUAACCCAGGGAAACUUGGGCUAAUACCGGAUACGUGCGAGAGCAGAAAGAUUUAUCGCUGAAGGAUCGGCCCGCGUCUGAUUAGCUAGUUGGUGGGGUAAUGGCCCACCAAGGCGACGAUCAGUAGCUGGUCUGAGAGGAUGAUCAGCCACAUUGGGACUGAGACACGGCCCAAACUCCUACGGGAGGCAGCAGUGGGGAAUAUUGGACAAUGGGCGCAAGCCUGAUCCAGCCAUGCCGCGUGAGUGAUGAAGGCCUUAGGGUUGUAAAGCUCUUUCGUCCGGGACGAUAAUGACGGUACCGGAAGAAGAAGCCCCGGCUAACUUCGUGCCAGCCGCCGCAGUAA
rnacentral:rRNA from 1 species